GCAGUAUUGUGCUUGUAAGCAGAGGGAGAGCAAGAAAAAAAGUUAAGGGCUUUUCCUUACCUUUUACGGUGCAAUCGCAGGAAAAAUGCAAGUAUCCACUUUCUGUAGAAGACAUUAUGUUUAGUUAAAAGCUAAAGAUCUACUUUCUUCUUGUCCCAGGUGAUUUAUUUAACCCUUGCAAACAUUCUGUUGCAUGGGGGAAAGAUCAUUUGAGCAUAUCAGAGAAGGAAUAUUUUUUACUUACAGGGAGAAAAACUGCUUGCGGGUAUAUGGUCUGAUCUGAUCACAGAAGAAUGUAAAAAAUGGGGUCUUCCAAAGAUGUAUACUGGGAUUGGUGCUUUGUAACUUAUUCACUUAGGAGUGAGCAACAGGAAGGCCAGGUUGCUCACUCUGUCUAUUCAGGGUGGUAAAAACAAAAAGGGAUUGUGAAGCACUCAAAUGGGAGCUUUAAAGGGGGCUAAGUGAGCUUCUUAUAGGUAUUUAGUUAUAGGGGCAGGGAUGCCUUUAGUCUCAUCCAAGAGGGCCAUUCAUACGUUGUUCGGUCCAAUUGAUUUAAGUGGAAAUUACAUUAACGUCAGCAUGUUUAGGAAUAUAGCUUUACUUGGGAAAGUGCAAUAUGUUCAAAACCUUUCCAUUGAAAUAUAAAGAUUUCACAUUACAAGCAUUAGCCAAACAUUAAUUCAGGGCAUUUUUCUUAAGCUAAUUUUUGGACAACCAUACCUGAUAAAAUAAAUUUGUGUGUAAUUCUCCUCAAUAUGCCACAUGCACACACACAUUUUAUUGUUCGCCCUAUGUUUAUUUUUGUUUUCGUGCACACAAAGAAACUUUUGCACAGAAUAACCCAGUGCCAGAGAAAUGCAGGGUUGGCUCAAAUUCAGCCGUAUUAGAGUCAGCAAGAAUUAGAUAAGAGGAUUAGAUAACAGGUGUCAGAAAUGACAUGAAGCAAGUGUGACAUUUACUAAGCAGUGUAAUCAAACUAUAUACUAUUCAGCCCACUGUUGAGUGAUCUCUCUUCCACAAUCAAAGCAUCUCAGUUCCAUUAUUCAGUGCCAUCAGUUGCAAGUAGUUCAAUACACUCAAUGCAGCCAGUUCACCCAGAGUUGAUAUAGAUAUAAGGCUAGACCACCAGGCUUGGAAACUUCCUUCCCUCUUACCCUUAUUUAUUUUAUUUAUUAAAUUUAUAUCCCACCCUUCCUUCCAAAUAAGCCCUUGCGUAUAGUAUUGCACUGCUUCCUUACUGUACCCUUUUGAAGCAAACCACACUUCCCCUAGUUUUUUAUCCUGGUUUUUAGUGCUAAACAUUGUUUGUUGGUUCAGAUGAAAGAGCAAAUUACGAUUGGCUUUAAAAUGAGAAGGAUUGUUCCAUCUGAAGGGGCUGGGAGGAGAAGAGGGAGCAUGUAAGCCCAAUAAUCUAAUCAGGUCCAUGGUGGCUGGGGCAACCCAGUCAAAUGGGCAGCAUAUAACUAAUAAAUGAUCAUGAUCAUGAUGUAAGCCAAGGUUGCGGCUGGGAGACAUGUAGCUCCCUCAGGGAUUGUAGAGAUAAAAAGUAUGCUCCCAGUGGUCUUAUCAGAAAGGGAGUUUAUCACAUGAGAUUGAAAUGGGCAGUAAGAAAGGAGACCAUGUGUUCUACCUCAGUUCCUUGGAGGAAUGGUGGAAUUAAAAACAUAUAUGCUGAAUUAAAAGAGGGGACGGUAUAGCAAACUGAUUGGGCUGACAAUUUUCUAACAUGCACUUUCCCCAGCCUGAGCAGACCAGGCCUAUUUAAGGGACUUGUUGCCUGGAGACAAUUUUGCCCAAAGGUUUGAUAUAUACACACUACCUUCAAAAGACUCUUGGGAUAAAGAAAAACCCCACUGGAUUGGUCUGAAAAGGGGAAAAUGGUGCUGCCGAAACAUCAAUGCUCUUUAUUUAAAGAUAAUUGCCUUGACUGCUAUUAUUCUAAGCAGAAAUCACUCAUUUUCAGAAACUUUGGAUGAAACUACAUUGCUCAUUAAAACAUGUGCCAGCACCCCUGGGUCAGACCAAAGAAACUUCAGACACACGGAGCUGCCAACCGUAAUGAGUAUUCCAUUCAUUCAUGGGCCGGGGAAUCGCAUCUCACUGUCUCUCCCUCAUAAUGAUCUGGCUGCCAGCCAACCAGUCUUUAGCCCCACUGAAACCCUAUUCUUGCAUCCAAGACAGCUGACCCAAUAAUGAGAAGCCAAAAAAAGAAAAGAAGGAAGGAAAGAGGUUAUAAUGAAAUGAAAUAUAGAAUAUGAAACAUAAUUGCUUACAGAAAUUUUUCUCUAGAUGAAUCUGUUUAAAACAAAGAAAAAUGAUCAAGGAAGAAUUGUUCAGAUGACAGGAGGAACCAAUAAAACAUGAGAGGUUUUGCCAUGGAAUCAAAUUGCCUUCCCAUCCAUAGAAGACAAAAAUAUGGAAUCUGUUCUUCGUGUUUGAGUUCGGUAUUAGGUCUGUAUUAGGCUUGAAUCCAAGUAAGCUUCUGAGCAUCCUCUGAACUGAGUUCCACUUAUAGGGCAGCAGAAAGGGGAGGUAACUUUCACUGAAUUCCCCACUCAGUCCCUUUUACCCUCUGAUAAUCUGCUGUGAAUUACUGUGAGGAUCAGCAUGACAAAUGCGGCUAGGGACUUAGGGGGCAGGAAGAAUUGGCAAAAAUUGCCUUUCCUCCUGAUGGCAGGAUCCUGUCCGUCAGCACUCACUCUGUUGGUGAGUUCCUCCCUCCUACAAAAGCACAAUGAGCUUGAUAGCAUACAUCCAAAUAUACGUUUGCAUUUAUGCACACCUCCAUUGUUUUGCUUCAGCAUGGUAGAAUAAAAGGGAACUCUGAGAAGGUAUUGCAGCCAAGUCCUCAGAACAUGAAGCAGCUGGCUUUCAUUUCUGCGAAAACAAAGUAGCAGGCGGAGUUGGUGGUUCAUGAAUGUAAUGGCACAUUUUCACUAUUAAAACUAUUUUUUAAAAGGCUUUGCUGGUAAUGGUGUCAUCAGGGCAGGGCUUUGGAGCAGAAGUCCAGAGCCUCACUCAGCAGAAUGAACAGAGCAGCCCUCAAGCAUAGCAGUGCUGGUCUGCCACAUUUCAAAGUAUGUAAAGGAAAAGUAAUGCAGAUUAUCAUCUGAAGAGGGGAUCACCUAAAAUGCUAUUAAGUCCAGAGUGUAAAAUUACCUAACUAUACCAUUAUACUGUGAAGGAGAAAUGAGACAAUAGCCAGGAUGGUGGACCACAUGAGUCAUCCGUCUAGACCAGUUGUAGAAAGAUGCACCCAUCAUUAGUGAGGCUCGCUUUUUCUUAACUGUCAGAAGCUAGAAAUGGGAAGAUUCAUUAUGUUUAUAUUGUAAUUUUCUGUAGUGGGUCACAUGGGAAAUUGCAUAUGUGCACCUACACUAUUUCCACUUUGGGGGGCUUGCUCAGUUGCCAGAUGAAAUAUAUUGCAAAAUGAGGUCCUAAAAUAUUCAAACUGCCAUGAAGAAACAGAGUCACACCACAGUUCAAGAUGCCCGGUUGCAAGCUGCAAAUAUUUUGUAAGCAUUACCACAGGCUUGUAAUCAAAAAACUAAGUAGAACUCAGGAAAGAAUUCAUUAUUAAUAAGCCACAGGUCUUUCCAGCCAAACGGGGCCCAGAAAAUUCCCAGCUGUAUACCAUUUGCUGACAUAAGAAGAAUGGCAUGAAAGCCCACUCCCCCAAAAAACACAACCACAUGUAGCUACAUGGUGUACAUAUUUAGCCAGGAAAUUUAGCUGAGUGACUCUUGCCUUUUGAUGUAUGAAUUCCUCAUGGCAUCUGAAACUUGUACUAUGCUGAAAAUGUGUCUCUAGCAAUAUUGGAGAUUAGGGCCACAACUUUGCUGCAUGCCACAGACGCUUUUUUAAAAGAGACACGACCACCCCUCAAAGAUUAGAAUGUUCAAUUGCUUGUCUUGUGCGAUUAAACACCAUUCCAAGAAUGGCAGGUCGCAUGUGCUGAAAGCCGAUAUUAAUGACAGCAACUGAAUCUUUGUGGGAUUUUUAAAGAAAAGUCUUAAAAGGAACUCUGGGUGUACAAUUGGGCCAUAUUUUUGAAGGUUUUCUUUUCCCCAGAAAAAUAUUUUUAGUUCUGCAUUGUGUGCUGUUGAUAUCUGAGCAGAGCUGAAAUUUCUCAGAAGACAUUUUUAAUAAUAAAUUGUCUUUGAUUUUUCUCUCCGUUACCCUAAAAAGGCCACUUCUCAGAAUUUUCUUUAAAUAUACAACAACAUUUUUUCAUGGGCGGUGACUUGAAAUUUCAUACACAGAAUACUGCAAAACUAUGCUAGGUUCCAUCCAUUGCGAUCCUGAAGUUAAAUCUUGUGAUAAUAUUUGAUUAAGUAUGGAUCUCUUCUUCUUUUUUCAAAAGUAUUUUCUUGCACUACAGAAUUUUAACCCCAGGAAUUUCAGUAUUCCAAAUCAAUUCCUCAAUAUGCUAUUGAAUCUAGUUCAGCUUUGACAUUGUCAAGUCAUAGAAAGAUAGAAAUUAAUAGAAUCCAAAACACAACUACAGUUUUCAGUAAGAUCCUCAUUUUUACUGCAGCUAUCCACCCCAUUCAGGAAAGCUGCACAUCUUCAGACAAAGUGUUCCAGGGACUAGUUCCAACCUUUUAAUCAACAAUUUAGAAUAAUUUGUAUUAAGGGAUCAUAACCUCUGAACAGGUUAAUAGAUAGCUUUGUAUAACUGUUUCAUUAGACCUUUUAAAUGUGGAAAUAAUAAUAAAAGCAAACAUCUGGACACACUUUACCCUUUGGGCCAAGGGGUGUGUACAUAUAACUGUUAUGGGUGUUGAAUUAAAACAGUAGGCAGACACAGGGCAAAUGUAGAGCUAGACAGUCUAGACAGUGUUUUAAUUAGAAAAGGUAAAAAAGGUAAAGGACCCCUGGACGAUUAAGUCCAGUCAAAUUCAACUAUGGGGUGCAGAACUGGGGUAUUUGUCCCCAGACAGCUUUUCUGGGUCAUGUGGCCAGCAUGACUAAACCGCUUCUGGCACAUGAAACACUGUGACAAGUGCCAGAGCACACAGAAAUGCCGUUUACCUUCCCGCCACAGUGAUACCUAUUUAUCUAUUCGCGCUGGUAUGCUUUCGAACUGCUAGGUUGGCAGGAGCUGGGACAAAGCAACGGGAGCUCACCCCAUCACACGGAUUCAAAUUGCCAAACUUAGAAUCGGAAAGCCCAAGAGGUUUGAUGGUUAGGCCACAGCGCCACUCACGUACCAUUAGUUUGUGCUAGAAAGGAAUGUCUUGUACAUUUACAUUUUUUCAUGGGUUAGGAAGGAAGGGGGAAAUAUACAGCAGUAUUUCAGAUAUACAGAGUAUUUUCUUGCAUUUUAUGGUUUGGACACAGCAGAAAUGCAGAAUUCAACCAGAUUAUACUUUCUAGCACUAAGUACUGUUCAUAAUUAUAUCACCGCCAUCUACAAUUCCUUUGUUGCAUUUACUUGUAGAUUUAGAUGAUCAAUCAACACAGUUAAUAACUUGGUGCAGCUAACAUCCCUCAUAUCCUUAUUUUGUUUCAGCUUUGGCCAAGGGUGAGAUACCCAGUGUUUUUGACACCAUCCAGAAUUUAUGCAUUCAUGAAUACAGGUUACAACAGGGGUCCCCAACAUUUUCAGGCUUGUGGGUAUUUUUUUUAGAAAUCUAAGAUACUGUUGUGGCCACUACAGCAUACCCACUUUCCAGAGGAAAAACUGCUCAGACCCCCACCACCCCAAAAACCAGGGAGACCCUACACACCCCAAAACAUAUAAAACAAGACAACUCCCUCAACCCCCCCAAAGAUAAAUAAAAAAUAAACCAACCAUCCAUUUGCCUUUUUAAAAAAUAACCAGUUUGGGGAUCCUAGUCCAAGUAGCAUAGUAUACAAAAUCAAAUUGGUUCAGUACCAACAACAAUACCAAUAGCAUUGUGUUUUAAAAUGUUGCCUCAAGAUACUGUGAUCUUGGAUGUUAUGGUGUGUACACAUUGAUGCAAGCAAGAAAUGGGCAAUUUAAAUCCAAAAUAGGAGCUUCUACCACUCUAUCCUCAUCUCAUCCUAAGACUAUGCAAAUAAUGAACGCAUGGUCCCUCUUACAGCCUAGUCAUUUAAGACAAACUGGAUACAAUCCGGCCCUGCUUCCUGCACCAGCUCCAGAUCCUAGAAAUACCAGAGCCAGCAACAGACAACAUUUUGUGGGCCUGUUGUGUCGGGGCCUCCUCCUCAUUCUCACAGAUGCACUAGCCAGCUGCUCCCUCCUAAGGUUACCAGUUCAUAGCUCUCUUGCUCACCUUUCAGUGAACUCCGAACCAUCAGUUCCAAUGAGCUGCUACUACUCAUCCAUGGGCAACUCAAGCUUACCUUUCCAACUCAAUUAGGACGUUGAAACAAGUUUGCCUGUUGUUUUUUUAUUGGACGCACUAGAUGUUUUGGGAUGGUGAAAGCUGCAACCGACAAAAUAAUUAGAAAAGGGCUAACUUGUCAUUAUUAACUACUUGGGAAAUCACCCAAUAGCUUUCGGAACACAUGAAGGAAUAUAUUUAUUUUCUUGUGUGUAUUUGCGGUUCAUUUUGAGCCACUCUAUGCAUCCGUACCCGAAUGUGCAAGCAUACAUUUAACAUGAAAAGAUAAAGUUUGAAACAUCAAGCAAGUUCGUUCAUUUUGCCUACAGUUCAGUGUAGAAGAAUCUGGAUUUUUGUGGCAGCAACUAAAAUGAUAUACGAGCUAUGGCUGGCUAUAAAGAAGAGAUACCAGCUUUCUAGGUUGCUUCCCCAGUAGAGCCAUGCGCAUUACUGAGCCAUUGCUUUUCUGUAAUUACGGUAGCUAGAAGCUGAAUUAAAACAAUGGUCCCAGGACUCAGCUAUAUUAGUCAAAAAAUUAGUUUUAAAUGUCUUAUAAACAUGCCACACCAGAUGGCGCUGUAGAGCAGAAAACUUUUCUAUGUGAUCUUACAUGGGUUUUUUCCCCCUUUUGUUAAAACAAUUUAAUUUAUGAUUUUAUAGCGGUUUUCUCUUGUGUGUAGAUCCACCCCCCAAAAAACCAUUAAUAUCAAGCUAUAUUAUUCAGUCCUUCCUACAGCCAGCUUCCUUCUAUAAUGUUUACUCAUAAAGCAUAUUGCAUUUAGCAAAGAUCCUUUUCAAUAUUACCUAAAAAAAUCCUGUUUCUGGAUUCUGCACAUUCUAGUACUUCCUAUGAAUCAUGGCUGGGAGAUUACUGGUGAAUACCAUUAAAUUCCGCCCCUUCUCUGUAAAAUGACUUCAUGGUCAGUUUCUGUUCCCAUUGGUGGAGGUGGAGGGUAAGACUGUAAUUAUUGGUUUCUUUGCAGUUUUUGCUUUGCAGUUUUAUAGUGAAGUAGUUUUAUUUCAUUUUAAAAGAAAAAUGGGGGGGGGAAACAUGAGGAAAUAAGCUGUUAAAGCUUUCACUACAGCCAAUAAUCUGGAGGAACAGAAACUGACAAUGGAUAGGGGGGCAGUUAAGAGUCUGGCCAUUCUCCAAUAAGCCAACAGUAAGCGAUAAAAAACACUUUUAACAGAAACUGAAAAACCAAGAAAGUUUUAUUAAAAUCACCAGAGUCCCAAAAUACUUUUUCUGCUCAUAUCAUAGAGGCUGCAGCUUUCAUUUCAAGAAACAAAAAAUCACCACAAGCCAAGUAUUUAAAAGUAUGGAAGAGCACCAUUAGAUUUAUUCUCCACAAGACAUUAGUGACAGUUCCAGAGAAAAAGGGCCACAGAAGAAAUCCAGGCAAUAUAAAUGUUGCAUAGUAAUAUGAGUUUUAUUAAGAAAACUGUAAGAAAACAGUUUAUAUGCUUACUGAUAUAGUUUUUGUCAUAAAACCCAAACCUCAGUGGAUGGCCUUUAACCCAUAAGCAUUUUUUUUAUUUAUAGAAAAACAGUCUUCCUCAGCUGCUAUUUGGUCUGGAAGGAAAAUUCUUAUGGGCAUCUUAUAUUUUCAUGAGGAAUCUCCCCCCUCUUCCCACACAGUGAACCUGAUCAAAAUCAGGAGCCCCACGGCUGCUAUGUGAUUUUUAAUGUAUUAUGAUAGAACUCUGGUUUUCUGGACUUCAAAGGAUUAAUGCUUGCCUUCUUGGUUUAAAGCAAAAGAAGAGGAGGAGGAGGAGUUUGGAUUUGAUAUCCCGCUUUAUCACUACCCAAAGGAGUCGCAAAGCGGCUAACAUUCUCCUUUCCCUUCCUCCCUCACACCAAACACUCUGUGAGGUGAGUGGGGCUGAGAGACUUCAGAGAAGUGUGACUAGGCCAAGGUCACCCAGCAGCUGCAUGCGGAGGAGCGGGGAAGCGAACCUGGUUCACCAGAUUAUGAGUCUACCCCUCUUAACUACUACACCACACUGGCCGAACCGAACCAAACUCCAUUCACCUCCCUUUGGGAACGUCUGUUGGGCAGCAGCAUUAUUAGAGCAUUAAAAAUAAACUCCUGGGAACAAUCUGAAGACAAAUCUCCAGCAGAGAAAGACCAUUCAACAAAUUACAGUGCAUAUCUCCUUGUGUUUCUCAGC
rnacentral:lncRNA from 1 species